AUUGAACGCUGGCGGCAGGCCUAACACAUGCAAGUCGAGCGAGCGGCGGACGGGUGAGUAAUGUAUGGGGAUCUGCCCGAUAGAGGGGGAUAACUACUGGAAACGGUGGCUAAUACCGCAUACUAUCGGAUGAACCUAGGUCGGAUUAGCUAGUUGGUGGGGUAAAGGCCUACCAAGGCGACGAUCCGUAACUGGUCUGAGAGGAUGAUCAGUCACACUGGAACUGAGACACGGUCCAGACUCCUACGGGAGGCAGCAGUGGGGAAUAUUGGACAAUGGGCGAAAGCCUGAUCCAGCCAUGCCGCGUGUGUGAAGAAGGUUUCGGGUUGUAAAGUACUUUCAGCGAGGAGGCGUUACUCGCAGAAGAAGCACCGGCUAACUCCGUGCCAGCAGCCGCGGUAAUAC
rnacentral:rRNA from 1 species